GACGAACGCUGGCGGCGUGCUUAACACAUGCAAGUCGAACGGAAAGGCCCUGCUUUUGUGGGGUGCUCGAGUGGCGAACGGGUGAGUAACACGUGAGUAACCUGCCCUUGACUUUGGGAUAACUUCAGGAAACUGGGGCUAAUACCGGAUAGGCGCUCCUGCUGCAUGGUGGGGGUUGGAAAGUUUCGGCGGUUGGGGAUGGACUCGCGGCUUAUCAGCUUGUUGGUGGGGUAGUGGCUUACCAAGGCUUUGACGGGUAGCCGGCCUGAGAGGGUGACCGGCGACAUUGGGACUGAGAUACGGCCCAGACUCCUACGGGAGGCGGCAGUGGGGAAUAGUGCACAAUGGGCGGAAGCCUGAUGCAGCAACGCCGCGUGCGGGAUGACGGCCUUCGGGUUGUAAACCGCUUUCGCCUGUGACGAAGCGUGAGUGACGGUAAUGGGUAAAGAAGCACCGGCUAACUACGUG
rnacentral:rRNA from 1 species